AAAUUUGCGAAGGAAAUAUACGUCGCAAAGUUUGCGACGGAAUAUCGAGUUGGUCAUGUUCCCUCGGAGAGAUUCGUCGGCGAAGAAGAGGUUUGUCGGAGAGAUCUAUUCGUCGGCGAAUUUGAGGUUUGUCAGGGAGAAAACAAUUCGUCGGCGAAUUUGAGUUUUAUCAGAGAGAACAAUUUGUCGACGAAUUUGAGUAGGUUUGUCAAAAUGAGAGUGAAACCCUAAUUAUUCAGUAAGGGUAAAACCAUUAUUUUCCACAUUAGAAAGGGCAGUUUUAAAAAUGGCCAUCAGAAAAGGGCAUUGUUGCAAAAGGUUAUUACAAAAAUGGCACUUUUGCAAAUCUCCCUUUUGAUUGUUAUAUCUAAGAUUUCACCUCUACAAUAUCAUCCCCUAUUAAUAUCGACCCAAAUCAUUCUGACCAUAUAACCCCGUCCUAUGAAAUUAAACAUUAUUUUGUCUUAGUUUUAUAUAAACUUCAA
rnacentral:sRNA from 1 species